AUCAGGGGUAAACCUGUGGAACUCGAACGAGCGAACGGGGAGAUUCAWCGUUYUCYGUYGGGUCCGCGGAGGGGCGUUGACGUCGUGCAUUCGUGURYGGCGCUCGUYUCWYYGYGMGAUCYGCRGAGUGCGUGCACUCCUCCCUCAGUAAAACACCGCGACCCGUUGCGGGUGGGUCGAACGCGCCGUGCGAGUGUCCCGCCUCGAUUCGUCGAGGCGGACUCGCGGCGUCGCGGCUCACGUGCGACGGUAAAGAACGAGGYUUGCGUCCGCUUCUAGCGUCCGCGUUGCGGCGGCUGCGUUCCUCGHYCGGUCUCGGCGCGCAAGCGUCGCGGCCGRCGAGCGAGCGYYGCGUCUGCUGCAUCGGCUCGGACGGGACGCGUCCCGGUCUGCGGUGGUUUGUUUCGGGCACUCACAGGACCCGUCUUGAAAC
rnacentral:rRNA from 1 species